GUUCUUAUUCUCUCUAGUCUUUUUAACCAUGUACACCCUUAACACCGGCCUGGAUGAAUCACUAAGAUAAUCACACAACCGAACCUGAUUGAUUAUGUUGAAAGGUAGUACCCUCUGAUUUUUAAAGAAGCUGUGCAUGUAGUUGAUGACAAGUUCUUUCGGUUGAUAAUUCAGUCCACAAUAACUGAUGAUUAAGUUCACAAAAUAAUCAUAUAAAACAUCACUUUGGACUGUCAUAGCUAUCAUCUCAAGCAUUUUGCCCUUCUUCCAACGCUUCCAUACAUAUCGAUUGCUCUUAUCGUUCCAUUGACCAUGAUAAUCCACCCCUAUUGUUAUCGAUCCCUCUAUUAGUGGUACCUAAAUAAAGUCAUUUGUUAAAAAAAUUAAUAGUGAUUUUAAAGUGCCGUACAUAAAUCCCAACAGUUGUGUAAUCUGUUGCAAUAGGUAAGUGAUCAGUCGCAAUAGAUUACUUACCUGUUGGGAUUCAUGUUACACUCCUGAAGCUGAUUUCAACAGAUGAGUCAUCUAUUGUAAUGGGUGAAUCAUAUGUUGCAAC
rnacentral:lncRNA from 1 species